ensembl:lncRNA
UGAGGAUGGGGGUCAGUGCAGGUCAGGUUGGGGGUCAGUGCAGGUCAGCUUGGGCAUUAGUAUGGGUCAGGUUGGGGGUCAGUGUGGGUCAGGUUGGGGAUCAGUGUGGGUCAGGUUGGUGGUCAGUGCAGGUCAGCUUGGGGGUUAGUGUGGGUCAGUUUGGGGGUCAGUGCAGGUCAGGUUGGAGGUCAGUGCAGGUCAGGUUGGGGGUCAGGUAGAAGGUCAUCUUGGGGGUUAUUUUGGGUCAGGUUGGGGGUCAGUGUGGGUCAGGUUGGGGAUCAGUGUGGGUCAGGUUGGGAGUCAGGUUGGGAGUGAGUGGGGGUCAGGUUUGUUUUGAGUGUGGGUCAGGUUGGGUGGGUCAGGUUGGGUGUCGGUCAAGUUGUGUGCGUCAGGUUGCGUGUGGGUCAGUGUGAAUCAUGUUGGGGUUAGGUUGGGGGUCAGUGUGGGUCAGGUUGAGGGUUAGGUUGGGGGUCAGUGCACGUCAGGUUGGGGGUCGGUGUGGGUGAGGAUGGGGGUUAGUGCGGGUCAGGUUAGGGUCAGAGCAGGUCAUGUUGGGGGUCAGCUUGGGGGUUAGUGUGGGUCAGCUUGGGCGUCAGUACAGGUCAGGUUAGGGGUCAGCAUGGGGGUUAGUUUGGGUCAGGUUGGGGGUCAGUGUGGGUCAGGUUGGGGAUCAGUGUGGGUCAGGUUGGUGGUCAGUGCAGGUCAGCUUGGGGGUUAGUGUGGGUCAGGUUGGGGGUCAGUGCAGGUCAGGUUGGGGGUCAGGUUGGAGGUCAGUGCAGGUCAGGUUGGGGGUCAGGUUGAAGGUCAUCUUGGGGGUCAGUGUGGGUGAGGAUGGGGGUCAGUGUGGGUCAGGUUGGGGGUCAGUGCAGGUCAGGUUGGGUGGUCAGUGUGGGUGAGGAUUGGGGUUAGUGUGGGUCAGGUUAGGGUCAGUAAAGGUCAUGUUGGGGGUCAGGUUGGAGGUCGGUGCAG